rnacentral:tRNA from 1 species
GCCUUCGUGGUGUAGUGGUCUGCAUGUUCGACGCGUAACCGAGAGAUCCGUGGUUCGAUUCCCGGCGAAGGCG